rnacentral:siRNA from 1 species
AGACACUUGGUACUCGUGGUUCGG